rnacentral:rRNA from 1 species
AACGAACGCUGGCGGCAUGCCUAACACAUGCAAGUCGAACGAGAUCUUCGGGUCUAGUGGCGCACGGGUGCGUAACGCGUGGGAAUCUGCCCUUUGGUUCGGAAUAACAGUUGGAAACGACUGCUAAUACCGGAUGAUGACGAAAGUCCAAAGAUUUAUCGCCAGAGGAUGAGCCCGCGUAGGAUUAGCUAGUUGGUGGGGUAAAGGCGCACCAAGGCGACGAUCCUUAGCUGGUCUGAGAGGAUGAUCAGCCACACUGGGACUGAGACACGGCCCAGACUCCUACGUGAGGCAGCAGUGGGGAAUAUUGGACAAUGGGCGAAAGCCUGAUCCAGCAAUGCCGCGUGAGUGAUGAAGGCCUUAGGGUUGUAAAGCUCUUUUACCCGGGAUGAUAAUGACAGUACCGGGAGAAUAAGCUCCGGCUAACUCCGUGCCAGCCGCCGCAGUAA